GAAAAAUGAUAAGCAAAAUAGAUUACCAAAUGACAGAAAUAUAUAAUUGAUUAAUAACUUAUCUUAAACACUUUAAGACAACAACAAUUACAAUGUUAAGAAACCAAAUCAGCAACAAUUACAAACAUCCAUUACAUAAAAGAAAAUUGAACAGUUUCAAUGCCUGUAACUCCUCUUACUCAUGCCCACACGAAGAUUCAAUUACAAACAGCCAUUCGUACACCAUUUUCAUAGUCGUCAGCCGCACAAGAAGAUUGAAUUAAUCACGAUCAUUUGGAAUCGUAUUUAUAACCUUACUUUGUGUGGCUGAUGAUGGCGAACGAAGCCAGAAGUGACAGUUGCGGCAGCAUGGGCGUGGGUGUUUGUUAUUGGCGGAUGUGGCUGUAGCAGAGGCGUGGGUGUAUGUGAGUGAAGGUGUUGUUCUCUCUAUUUCGCGAUGGAGAAGAAGAAGUCAAGAAUGAAAGAAAGAAUUAGGGACUGCAUCUUUUAUUUUUUUAUUAAAGGCUAAGCAAAUCGAUUUUUGAAUUUGGCUUAGGU
rnacentral:lncRNA from 1 species